CUGGUUUUCGUUCCCUGGAGAGCAAGGGCAGGAGGUGCCUGGCCUGAGGCCGAGUCCCCAGAGGCCACACUGGUUCAAACCACCUCACUGGCGAGGGGAAAAGGGGAGAGAAAAAUGAAGNNNNNNNNNNNNNUUUGGGGUGGCUGUGGCCGCUCUGGAAGGGGAGUGUGGAGCGGAGGAGCAGAGGAGGCCAGCGGUGUGAAGGUCAGAGGCAACAGCAGGGGAAACGCCCCAAGCGCAGUGGCACAGGGGCUCAGCGGCACCAGCCCUGCUCCUAUGAGAAUUCUGCGUCAGCUGCAGAGCUGGAUUCCGGGAGUGGAGCAGCCCUGGCCUGGAGCUUUGAAAUUAAGCAGACUUGGCCUCAGGAAGCGUUUUCCCAACUCUCACGGAGCCCUUUCAAGCCCUGAGCGUCCCUGGCCCAGGACCAUGACCUGCAGCUCCUCAGCCCUUCCCUCCUAGGACAGCCUCCUGGUGAGGAGAGACACAUCCUUGCCUGUUUAUCUCCUCUCCCUGCAGGGGGAGAAGAGCUGGUCCCAAACUGAAACUCGUUUUUACAGCCUCUGUGCUUGCUUUGAAAGCUCGCUGCUUAACGAGAAUGUUUUGUUUCUCUGUGUGUGUACGCGUGUAUGCUGGACAGAAGAAAAUAAAUAAGAACGAACAGAGCCCCAAGGGAGUCUCUGGCAACAAACU
rnacentral:lncRNA from 1 species